GUAGGGAAUCUUGCGCAAUGGGGGCAACCCUGACGCAGCGACGCCGCGUGGAGGACGAAGUCUUUCGGGAUGUAAACUCCUGUCAGUGGGGACGAUAAUGACGGUACCCACAGAGGAAGCACCGGCUAACUCCGUGCCAGCAGCCGCGGUAAGACGGAGGGUGCAAGCGUUGUUCGGAAUUACUGGGCGUAAAGCGUAUGUAGGCGGCAAGUUAAGUUCAAUGUUAAAGCCCACGGCUCAACCGAGGAGAUGCAUUGAAUACUGGCUAGCUAGAUGGUGUUAGAGGAAGACGGAAUUCCCAGUGUAGCGGUGAAAUGCGUAGAUAUUGGGAGGAACAUCGGUAGCGAAAGCGGUCUUCUGGGACAUACCUGACGCUGAGGUACGAAAGCGUGGGGAGCAAACGGGAUUAGAAACCCGGGUAGUCC
rnacentral:rRNA from 1 species